UCGAUGUUUUCUGGUUGUAAAGUAGACGUCGUACCCGAUCCUGAGCUGCGUUACGCAGAGGGUGCAAAUUUCCUCCGUAGAACACGUGCUGAGAUCUCGAAUAGCAAAGACAUUUCGCGGUGCGUUGUAGAUAUUCGGCCGAAGCUGAGAUUCCUCUGCACCCUCUUCUAGAGACUUUUGGGUUUAACAAACACGACUCUUAACAAGAAUCUGGAGGACACGGACGGCGAGAAAAGUAAUAGAACACGGAAACAAACAACCAAAAAAAACACAUGCAAGGCAUUUUCCAUUAAAGUCCAUUGGAGGAGCUAUUCCCUGGGUGCUGAAUGGAACCGAGACACCUGUUUAGUUACGUCACUGUUCGCUAUCUGAACACAGAGAAUUCUUGACAAACGGAUGCUGAUCGGGCUUGUGAUUAUUCUAUCCCCGUCAGACUGAAAGAGAGAGGGCUACACAAAGACAACGGAUUGAAACUACACCACAAUCGAGCAUCGCAUAUAAACACCAUCUGAAAAUACUACAAAACUGAGUCGUUAUGUCAAAGUAAACGGCCCUCUACAUUAAAUAAAAAAAUAAAUUAGCAUUUUCCACUUCGACUCCAAGGUAUUGUAACAAUCAAAGUAAAUACGUCCAAGUACGGACGCGGUGUCUCUUGUCCGUGAUAGGAUUGGGUCAGAGUGUGACAAAUGCCACUGUAUCCACGCAAUCGUGGCUUGCUAGUUGCCAUGGAGAUACCAACCGGUAGACAACAGCCCAGUGAUGGCUACUGCAGUUCACAGAAAUAUCCAUUAGGCUCUACCACACUUAGUGCUCAGUCGGACUCCUCAUUUAGCAGCUUGGUCGUGGAUUCAUUAUCAACAGUAUCACUAUUGUCUAAGGGUGGAAUCUGUUCAGUGAUCGGAGAAGACUGGUCUUCAGAAUUCCGUCGGGGACUCGAGCGCUCAGCAUUUGGGGAAGCCUCGUCUGCAGAGGUCCCAUUUUCCCCUUCUACGUCCCCCUCGGGCUCUUCUUGGUCCUGAGAAAGUACAGAGACAAUAAGGGUGAAUAUUCUGAUGUUGUGUUCAAAGAUAUAAAAUAAACAAACAGAACACUUUACCUCUUCUGGACACAGUUCGCAGGCCUUGGCGAGUGUGAGUCGUGCACUGUGUGAUCGUUCAAGGAAGU